UACGGAAGGCAGCAGUGGGGAAUAUUGGACAAUGGGCGAAAGCCUGAUCCAGCCAUGCCGCGUGUGUGAAGAAGGCCUUUUGGUUGUAAAGCACUUUAAGCGAGGAGGAGGCUACUUGGAUUAAUACUCUAGGAUAGUGGACGUUACUCGCAGAAUAAGCACCGGCUAACUCUGUGCCAGCAGCCGCGGUAAUACAGAGGGUGCGAGCGUUAAUCGGAUUUACUGGGCGUAAAGCGUGCGUAGGCGGCUUUUUUAAGUCGGAUGUGAAAUCCCUGAGCUUAACUUAGGAAUUGCAUUCGAUACUGGGAAGCUAGAGUAUGGGAGAGGAUGGUAGAAUUCCAGGUGUAGCGGUGAAAUGCGUAGAGAUCUGGAGGAAUACCGAUGGGCGAAGGGCAGCCAUCUGGGCCUAAUACUGACGCUGAGGUACGAAAGCAUGGGGAGGCAAACAGGGAUUAGAUACC
rnacentral:rRNA from 1 species